rnacentral:lncRNA from 1 species
AUGCAAUAAAGGCAAAAAUGCCUUGAUGGAUUCUCUUAAAUUACCAGUACAUCAACUUAAUGAAUAAAAUUCAUCAGUUAACUCUUCUGGUACGAUCACAAAUAUAUCUUACUGUGUUGAGUCCAACUCUAUUGUCUAUGUAUCCAUCUUGCAGACCAGCAUUUUAUUUCUUUAAGUGCAGUAUUCCAAUACUUGUGUCUCUGUACUUUUCGCAUUACCAUGCAGGAGUACCUCUGAGGAUACAGUCAAUUUAAUUUAGCAAGGAAUAUCAUUCUCAAGUUCUCCAUCCAUCGUUGUCAAUUUAAUUUUAAGUUUCUAAAGAUACCAAACCAUGAUAAUUCCUAUUAGAUUUGUCCUUCCAAAAUAAACAAAGAACCACCAUAUCUUUUUCUUUUGCCCGCUCGCUAUGUUUGUUCUCAUUGCUCGCUCCAGUAAAUAGUCCUUUUUCACUGUUGUACACCAAAGCUUUUUUUUUUUUUUUUUUUUUUAUUUUUUUUUUUUUAACUCAUCCACCAAAACUUCUAGCAUGCAAAAAAAAAAAAAAAAUCCUCCAUGACAUCGUAAAGGUACUAAUUGGAGGUUUACGGUGAAUCUUAAUUCAUAAAGCACAAAACUUUGCAGUCUAAAUCAAUUUCAAAUGUAUGCAUCAGGAUUCUCUAGGGCUUUCUCUAAAAUAGGAAAAUUUUCUACUCCUUCAACAUUCAUCUUCCACAAAUCUGUUAGCCACAAAAAAAAUGUAAGAAAAAAAAUAUUUAUAUGAGGUAACAAUGAAAUCCUAAUUGAUAAACCAACCAAAAGCCAAUUAUUUUCUAAGGCUCCUAUGAAGGAGAGCAAUGGACAAAAAGAGAAGGUUGUUUGGAUUGCAAAUUUGGGAAGAGUUUUUAGGGAAAAAUUACAAUAGCACAUCAGGGAUAUGUGGUGUAUGUGAGAUAAACAAAUAAUUAAAAUAUGUGUAAAAUGAAUAUUCUCGAAAAACAGAAAAUUCUCCACCAAAAUAUGGCAUCCAUAUAUCUGGGAAGAUAAUUUUGCAUUUUUUUUCCAUUCCUUUCUUAGGAGCUUUGAAAGAAAAAAAAUUAAAAGAAAACCAAGUUUGGCUACAUUUACAGUAAGAGAGAAAAUUAAAGCUAGAGUCGCUUGGUGUAGUGGGUUGGCAGCAUCUAGACUACUUUAAAUGCAUGUUCCAAUCCAUCUUACAGGGACAAGAAGAAUGAAUCAGUUCAAGACUAUAAAGCAGAACCUACAACAAAGUAUCAAUUCCAUCUUUUCCAAAUAUGAUGCACAACUAGCCCCUGCUCAGGCUAUUUAUGGUAUCAAAUUAUACCCUUAUUAGAAAACCAUCUAAGUACAGAACAGAUAAAUAAUCUUUGAAAUCUCAUUACAUUCCUUUUUUCCUCUUGUUCCUUUUCCAGUCCUUCUGAACUUCCAACCAAAGGAAACAACAAUUUUAUCUUUUGUUCUAAAAACCCAAUCCUUGAGUCAGCCAAGAGAGAGCGGAUCAAUUGCACACUUGAAGCCAGUCCAUCUAGCACAUAGUACUACUAGAGAGUGAGAAGCCAAACUCGAACUAUCAACUCUCAGCAAAAUACCCGGCACUUGAUGCAAAAUGUGGAGCGCAAGCCACGUAACCUGUUACCUAAUUAAGAGCUCUUUUACUAAGGUAUUCAUCUUGACUGCAGUUUUACUUUCCAACAGCAUCUCCUUUUUUUAUGUGAUAGAUUCUGAUAGCACCUUGUACAUUGAGAUUCUAAGAAAAAGCCUAAUGCAACAUGCAUCUCUGUGCAAGGAAGAAACAGCCAGGGCAACUUCAUUUUAUUGAUUAGUACUUUCAUGCCUCAACCCAACAAAGAAAAGUAUACUUCCACUUUAGUUUUUGAAGCAUGACUUCCCCCAUAACUGCUUUCUAUAUGCAGAUAUUCAUGCACAAGGUUCUUUUCAAAUUCUGACAAGCUUUUUCAUGCCUCUUUUCAAAUUUUGAAAAGCUUUUUUAUGACAAGGUCACCUCUGCUGUUCAUUUUAUCUCCGUGUCCUGUCAUUUUAUCAUUGCAUUUGUUCUCACUGCUCUAGUUUCAUUCUUAUUGGUGGUAAAAUUAAUUCAUGCUACUCCUUAUUUUUCUUUUUCAUUAGCUUUCACCUGAUGUUUUGGUCUGUUUGAUUCUAUUUCAAAGACUAAUUUCCUCUUCUUUCUUUUUCCCCCAACAACCAUCCACAAUCUGAUUGCCUGUGCUUUUUUGCAUCUAUAACUUUUGGUGGUGCUCUCUUCCCCUCAUCACAACACCUACCUUCUCUAUUCCUAUGACACUAAUAUCCCCCAAAAGCCCAACUCCUAAAUGGCUAUUCAUUUCAGCUACCUCUCCCAAAAAUAUUCUCAUGACGUAGCCUUUGCCACCUUCAGGCAUCAUUCCCUCUCCUAUAUGAAUGCCAUGCUGCUGGCCAAAAUCCCAAAGUAAAACCUAAACUGCAGGUUAAAAUGCACCAAACUCGACUCAACUAAAGCUUCCUCUCAUGCUAUUUGUAAUUAUGGAGUCAGUUUUUUUAAUAAUUCAUUCUCUCAUGCUAUGCAGCAUCAAUGCUAUAAGCAGUGCUCUCUGGCCAACCUAAGACAUUCAUUUCCCAUUGAUCCUGACACAGAUCCAUAAAUGCAAUUGACUAAUAGGGACUAGUCAAGUAUUAAUCAUCAUAAAUGGAGAAUGAAAUGGGAGUUUUGGAGAUUAUUUGAAAUCUAUCACAAGUUUAAAGGGCCACCUCAUGAAAUUUAAGUGAAGUCUAGAUCAGGUGGAUUGAGCUAGUGGUAAGGGCCGUAUUUUAUCUUAAAGGUUGAAAGAGAAAAUUAUAUAGGUUCUGCCAUAUAAUUGGGUUCAGAGUGCUGCCACGAGUUGGACAGAGAGGUGGGUAUCACUCUACAAUAUCAUAGGGCUAAGACUAGUGGAUGAGUGACAGGUGUGAAUGAGUAAAAGCUAGCAUCUGUCAACAUAGGAGGCUUGUCAGGAGGGAGGGAGAGAGAGAGAGAGAAGAAGAACAAGAACAAGAACAAAAAGAAGGGUGCUUUCCAUCACAUUAUUAAGCAAAAUGAGACACAAUGAGAUUACUGUUACAAUGAACACUAAGCCUGUCAAUGCAUAAUCUACACAAGGCGAUGACCGUGAGAAGAUAUUCCCUGUUCUGGGUAAAUGAAAAGGAUAUCACCAGUCUGUCACUUGAAAAUUUCUAAUACAAUGGAGCUUACCAGCUUUUACAUUAUAUUUGUCAUAUUAUCUGAUACAAGAACCAGUAGUAGAUUCAAAUCAAACUGGAACUGGUAAAGUUCAUGCAGUAGGAUAGAGAUUUACUAAAGUAAUUGAAAUAAGGCUAAUGUUGCUCAAAAGUGACACAAGACACCAAUUAAUGUAAAAAUCUUAAUGUACAAAAUGAUUUCAGUAAUGAGAUUCACGAUUUUACAUGCAUAAUUACUAGGCAGCUCAAUUUAUCUAGCCAACACCAUCAAUAUUUGAGAAUAAUCAAAAAUUCUUGUUCUCUGCAUCCAUCCAAUUUGUCUUAAAAUUUCCAAAUUAAACUCCUUGUGAAGGACAAAAACAUUUUAAAGAAAACCUACUUUCUGUACCUCAUCAAAAUUUGCCUCCAAGCACACCAGAUUUUACCAAAGAUGCUUCCACCAAAAUCCACCAAAAACAAAACUACAAGACGAGAAUCUAAUUGUGGUGCUAUUACACAAGUAAAAAAAUGAUUAUAUAAAUUCCAGAUGCCUCUUUAGUUAACACUUAUUUCAGAUCAUUUCAUCUGAAAUAUCGCAAAACCAACACUCCUCACAUCCAUCUUUCUUCAAUACGUUGUAUUGGUUUAGCUAACCAUACACUUGCAACAAUCACAUAGCAGUAAAAUCAACCUAUAGUCAAAAGGAUGCACAAAGACCCAUAAUUUGCAUUAGAGAUACAAACAUGACAUCAACUUAUAUUCAAAAGGUAAUUAUUUCGUGAUGUGCACAUAUAUAUCAUGACAUAUUUUCUUAUUUCUAACAUGGACCCAAGUUCAGGAUAACAUGCCAAAAAGUUUACAUAAUUUAACUGUUAAAGGGACAUGCAGAGAGUUAUACUUCAACAAAAAGCAUAAUUCCCUACUCCAACUACAGAUAGCUUAGAAGCAUCGGUGCAUUAUUGCAAGUAACUCUUCAUUUUGUGAAUCUAUACUAUAGUUGCCCCGCUCUACUGCUUUCCCUAUAAAGUCAUUCCAGUCAUUUUGCGAAUCUAACGCAUAGUCCUCUGCUCCACUUCUAUAAAGUCAUUCCAGUAAUACCACAGACUACAAUAGUUUCUGAUUUAAAUUUUGCAUUAAUUAAUCAAAUAUAUUUAAAUAACACGCAACAAAACCAAACCUCCAUUAGCAAACUGAGCAUGUCCCGUCACAGCACAACUUCAGCAAUUUUACCACUCCCCUAACUGUAAGUAGCCUUAGCAACCAAGAGAAGAAAAAAAAUCUUCUGCACAUCUUAUUAAGUUUCCAAUCCUCGCCCCCAUGAAAUUGGCAAAGUAACAAAACAAGCAAUACCAAUACCCAGCAGGACAGUAAGAUCUAUGAACUCGUAAACAAAUCAAAGCAGGAUCUACCAUCAUUGAAUGCUACUGAAAAUUUUCAAGGACACCUUGUAAUCCACUUGCAGAGUGGAUCUCAAAGGCAAUAUAUCAGCAUAUUACCCUUGAUCACCACCAUUUUCAGAUCACAAUCAAACAUUAGAACAACAUUGUCGAGAUUCUUCAGAUCUCUAAGUUGGCAAAACUGUGCCUAUUGAAUAUGCAAAUUCACCAACGAUCCAAAAUUAGCAACUUUUGGACAAAUAUCCACCUAUCUUGACUAGCAUUUGUCCUAGAAACAAAUAUCCUCCCUCGAGAAAAGCAUCAUAAAAGACCAGAAAAGCAGACAAAUUUGAGCAAUCUAAGAAAAACCCAGAUCAGAAAAGUCAAAAUCUGAAAGGAAAAUGUCACCUUUCUUGGCCAGCAGUAUCCCAAAUCUGAGCCUUGAUGACUUUAUUAUCAACAUUCAAGCUUCUGGUAGCAAACUCAACACCAAUUGUAGACUUGGACUCAAGGCUGAACUCAUUUCUGGUGAAUCUUGAAAGCAAGUUGGACUUGCCAACACCUGAAUCUCCAAUCAAAACCACCUUAAACAGGUAGUCAUAGUCAUCUUCAGCUCUGUACCCUGCCAUUACUCCUCAAUCUACCCCAGGUCUACUAGUACAGAACUACACUGACUACUCUAUUGGUGAAAUAAUCAAAUAGAACUUUAAGAAUGAGAUUUCUUGAUAUUUUUGAAUUAAUAAAGCAAAUCUUUUCUGCUCAAGUAGUGGGGUUUGGAGGAAGGAGUAUAAUGAAUGAUUUCGUAUGAUGUUCAGGUUUCUCUCUCCAAAGCCUUUUUCUUGGAUUUUGAUUUUUGUAUAUCCUUUUUCUUUUUUGUUUGUGUUUCUUUUUUGACUGUAUUACUAUUAUGGGUUGGGUGGGAAAUGGGAAUUUUCUUUUUUCUGACUAUUUCCAUUUUUAAUGGAGAAGAAUAAUAUAUACUAUGUACUACUUUUCUCUUGACUCUUUCAAAUUGAGUAAUUUGAGUGGGAAAAGAAAGAGACUGCUGUCUGCAACCUGGCAAGGCUGGAUUUUAGGGGGAAAAUGAGGAGAAAUUAAAGGUGUUUUAUUUUCUUAAAAGGGACAAAUAUUAAAAGAAGUGAAAAGGACAUCACCAACCUUCUCAACAGAAUAAAAUUGCACGGACCCUUUUAGGCUGGUUACAAAUACUGGAAUUUAGUACGCUAUCCCACCCCAUUGGCCUGCAAAAAUGGACCAUACUUUGUUCAUACUUAGGCUAAUGUGAAUUUGGGCUUGAAAUUUAAGAACAUAGCUCAAAUAAGAGUUCCAAAUGAGAGUUAAUAAAACAUCGUCUAAACGAAGAUGGAUUUGUAAGUUAAACCAAUUCCAAUUGAAGCAGGGUACUUGGUAGCUUUAAGCAAGGACGGGGACACCUCCUAAAAUUUUUUCGAAAAUCCUACUUUCAUAUAUGUUUUAUUUAGAAUGACUUAAUAAUAUCCCUCCUUAUUUUACCCUCCAACGUAAUUAAAAGUAAUCUUUUACGCCCUUUUUUAACAUAACCUUAACCUAACAUACUAACCUCUAAUCUCUUAAAUAACAUUUGUUGUUGCGUAACACUUGCAUUAGUAGAGAGGAGAAUGGAGGAGAGUUUGAUUUUUUUUUUUUUUAAUUUUUGACUUGUCCUAGCAUCAAAAUGCUAGCUAUCAUAUUUUGGAUUUGGAAUUAGAAUUUGUGAUACUUUCUGUACUUCAUUAUUUUGAAUUUCUAAGAUCUCUAUUUUUCGCCUCUGCCUAAUUAGAAGUUUUAGCUUCGUCCUUGACAUUAGGAACCACAAGAGCUAUCACAAGUCGAGUUCUAUGGGCGUGCUCAAAACAAAUACGUGGAAGAGUCACAUCUGAUUACACGCCAGAAGUUUAAGCAAAAUGCACAGGAUAAAGAAGCAUGAAUUCGUGCUAAAGAAACUCUGUGAAACCAUAUCAGCCACAACAAUAUUCAAAGAAAAAAACUGAUAUCUUGUUGAUGAGGAUAAUAAAGGUCAUUCUGAUACUCAAAUCCCUUGAUAAUCCAUUGUCAUAUUCCAUCUCAAUCAAAUUAGUGAUGUGCUGAAAGCUAAUUUACACGAACCAUAUCAAUUCUACUCCAUCUAAAAAUUUUGUCAUAUUUGUACUUACUAUUGUAUACUAUUGUCAUAGCAAAAGUUUUGCUUGAAAAUCUACUGAUUAAAGAACCUUUUUGAAUAUUACUCCUUGUAGGUAGGGCUGUAAUCGAACCGAGCUGCUCGCGAGGAGCUCGGUCAAAAGCUUGACUCGAACUCGGUCAAACCGAAUUCGAGUCGAGUUCGAGCAUCCAGAAGCGAUGCUCGAAGGCUCGACGAGCCUUAUCGAGCAUUUUAAUUUUAAUUAUUUAAUAUAUUAUUAUUAUAAAAUUACCCUUAUACCCAAAAGAAUUGUCGAAUUUACGAAAUAUUUCAAGUCAUAUAAAAAUUUUAAAAGGGCAAUAAUGUCUUUUCACUAAAAAAUUAUCAAGAAAAUAAAAUUUAAUAAAUCGAGCUCGACUGAGCUCGAUAAGGCUUGCAUGACUCGAGCCCAUGCGAGUCGAGCACGAGUACUGCGAGCAAGCUUCGAACUCGAGCUCGAGCUCCAAUAAUACUACUCGCUUGAGCUCGAGCUCGAGCACCCUAUCUAUAUGUUGAGUCGAGCUCGAGUAUGGCGAUACUCGAGCUCGACUCGACUCGAUUACAACACUAGUUGUAGGCUUAAGAAUGUUGGGAGUAGAAUUAUUUUGUAUGGUGCGCCUUGGAAUCCUUUCAACAGUGCUCCUUUAUAUUAAACUAAUAAAUGUAGCGUGCAUGAAUGACGUAUGAUCGUCCUGUACUUAUGUAUGCAUUUCUUUAUCCAUUUCUUGAACUAUAUGUUUGUGAUUUUUGUGUUCUCUUGAAAACAAACUUCAAAUAAAAAAAAAUGAGUUCUUUUUUUUAAGAUUGACAACUGUAAACAUAACAUAUAGAAGAUACUACAUCAUACCCAAAAAAAAUUCAAACAAACACCAAAAUUAUAUUAGAGAGAGUUAGAGUGUUGUUAUCCAUUUUGAUAGUAUAUAUAUAUAGUUAAGUUAACUCAGUUUGCUAGCUGACUUUAGUUGAAAUCUACAAAAUUAUGAUGUAAUGGAUACACACAUGCUACUAUCAGGUUGUAUGAUCUUUAAUAAUACAGAACAGGUUGUAUGAUGUUUAAUAAUAUAGAAAACUGGCAACCUACUGAAGUGGUUUUUAUUAUUCAUGUUGAAUCAGUUUUUUUUCCCACUAUCAUUUCCAUCUCCUUAUCUCUCUAAAAUGACCAUUUCUUUGAAGCAUAGUUCUCUUCCAAGAUGAUGUUCUUCAUUGAAAUACUUUUCCUUUAAAGCAAGUUAUCUCCUUGUUGUCAAUUAUGGUCUUGAAUUUCACUAGUGCUUUGGAUUCCUCAAAUCUAAUUUGAAGUAGUUGCUAUUCCUAACUGCUAAACUCUAGAGUUUCUGCAUCCAAUCCAUGAGAUACCAUCAAGAUUCAACAGUAAGAGCAAUUCUCUACAGACUACAAACACAUAUUCUUGCUAGCAAUUGCAGCCAAUGACAUUGCAUGAACUAAUUGGGAAAAACUUAAGCAGUUCGAAUUAGCAUCUGGACCCUUAAAUGAUAGUAAUAAUGGAUUGUUCAGCCAACAAUUCCAAGAAAUUAAAAUAGGUGAUCAUGACACGAAAGUAUAAUAUGAAAAGAGAUAUUUGACCAGAGAUGAUAGGUCGGUGCUUAGUUUUCUAUUAUUUUACUCAAUUUGUACAUGGCCUUUCCAAAAAUGGCUAUUUUAGUUACUUGAAACAAAAAUUCAAAUAAAUCUAGGUUGCAUUAGCCGUUAGUUUAUAUUAGUUUAGAAUAGGCCACUUUAGAUAAAAAUUUAUACUCUAGGUUGAAUAGUAAUCCAAUUAUGUAUCAAUAUAAGUGGAUAAAAUUUUGAGUAAAUCUUAUAUAUAUUGAUAAUAUAUACAUUAUUACGGUUGGAUGCAUGAUGUGUGAACAAAAUUUGGAAUUCAAAUUUAAAUUCAGAUGAGUUGUAAUGCAUCCAAUGGUGUAUGAAAGAUUAAUCCUAAAAUUUUUUAUCUAUUUUUAUUGAGCCAUUUUAUUGUUUUUACUUUGUUUAAAGAAACAACAAAAUGGCUCAAUGAAAGUGGCAAAUAGGGAAGGUAUGCUCUUGAAAAAUUAAGGACAAAGAAAAAUACAUGUUUAAUGUUCUCUCUAAAUAUAAAAGACCUUGUCUUUGUUGCUUUUAUGCGGCUAUGAAUUCUAUUUCUUUUCUUCGUGUACUAUAAGGGUGCAUUUGGUUCAUGGAUUGGAUAAGAGAAGAUCACUUAUUCUCGGAUUAUUCAUCAUGAGUUAAGUCAUCAUUGGAUGAGUAAUCUUAUUAUUCAAUAUUUGGUUGGCUUUAUGUUGGAUAGGAUGUCUUAGAAAAUAACUUCAUUCUGUGUUUGGCAAGAGAUAGGAUGAGGUGAGACUACUUAUUUACAGACCAAAAUACCCUUUUUGGCAGACCAACAAUUAGGGCUGUUCGGGUUUUGGUAAGACCAAACUGGGCUUAUAGAAAGUUAUAUAAAUAUAUAUAUAUAUAAAUGUGUGUAUAUGUGUGUGCGCGCGUGCGCGUGUUCCGACCCGAACUAACACAUAAGUUUUUGUUCUGAGCCAAGUUCGACCUUAUUAUUUGUUGACAAGUCUCAGUUUAUAUAUUUAACCUUUUAUGAAUUAAAUUUGACCAAAAAAAUGGUUAUAUAAUUAACUAGUGUCAAAAUAGUAUAAAAUUUACUUUCGCUUUUAGAGGGGUAAAUCAGUCUAAAAUUUUAGUAAAGCCAAAUUAGCCAAGAUUUUAAUUUAUUAAUAAUGGGCAAAUUAGUCCAAAAUUUAGUUAUUUCAAUAAAAUGGGCAAAUUACUUCAAAACAUAAAUUUUUUAUUAGGAGGGACAAAUUUGUGCAAAAAUUUAGUUAUUUCAUUAAUAUGGACAAAUGAGUAAAAAGCCUAGUUUUAUUAAUGGUAUGGGCAAAUCAAUCCAAAAUUAUGGUAUAUCAUUAUUAUGGGCAAAUUGGUCCAAAAUUUAAUUUUUUAUUAGUUGAGGCAAAUUUAUCCAAACUUUUGUUAUAAAAUUAAUAGGGGCAAAUUAGUCCAAAAUUUAGAUAAUUUAUUGAGAGAGAGUAGGUUUACAUAAUUGUUCGAAUAAAGCAUUAUUAUAUAAGUAAGGGUAAAUAAGUGCCAAUUGUUAUCAUCUUACUUCUUACUCUUCUCGAGAUAACUCAUACCACCUCCUCCCAUGGGAUUAUUUUAUCCUCCAUGUAAGAAAUUAAUUCGGUUUGGUGGGAUAUACCAUCUCAUUUAUAAAAUACAAUCGAACAUGUGACAAUAUAGGAUUAAUAAUUCAAUCCUGUGUCAGUCAAUGAAUCAAAUGAAUCUUAAAAGAAUCUUAAUAUUGAUCAGAUUUAGUCCCAUUAAUAGUUUUCUUUAACAUAACAUUUAGGACAAACUCUACUUUACAUCUUCGAACUUGUAUAUAAUUACAUCCAUUUAAGAUAAAAUUGACAAGGUGUCGAGCCUGUGCAAUAAUAAUUACCUACUUAAGAAAAGUACAAAUUUUGUAUAUAGCGGUGAGUAGGGUCGAAUCCACAGGAACUGGGGAUAAUUCGUUUCUUCUAGAGUUCAGCGCAUGGGGGAUUUUUGGAAAAUAUAAAGUAACUAAUUAACUAACUAAUGAAAUAACUAAUGGAAAUAAAUAAGAAUUAAUCAAUAACCAAUACGACUCUAGCCAACGGUGCAACUUUUCAGAUACGGUCCAUUCAACUGAUCAUCGAUGCAAAGAUAAUUCAAUUACUCAUUACUAGAUUGGUUAUAAUUGUCAUACACGCGAUUAACAACCAGCCUUUCCUUAAUUUCUCGAUAGUUAAGGUACGACCGUUAACUAUUUCUCUAACCAAGAAAUAACCCUAGGUACGACCGUAGGAUUUAAUUACUCGAUUGCAUUAAUAAUUAGAAAACCCCAAUCCUAACCAACAAACACGCUACGAGGGUUUAUUUAAAUUAGAUCAUACGUUUCCCUAACAUGAAACCAAUCACGCUAGUCGCCAUUGGUAUUAAUCGAUUGAACAAUCACGGAUUCAAUCAAUUAAUUUGACAUUAGAUCAUUAGAUUAAUUCGAAUAUCGGGCCCUUGACAUUCAAAUAACAUAACAAGCAUAAGCAAUUAAAUCAGGAAACGUACAAAUACCAAUGAAUAAAAGUAAUAAAUAAAAUUAAUUCGAUCUCACAGAUAUUUGGAACCGCGCCUUCAAGUUGGCAUUCGACUAGAUGAAAAGCUUAGCCACGCCGCAUAAUUAAAUCUCCACGCAAAUUAAUUGAUUGCAAAGGCAUCAAGUUUUUCACUAGGAAGCGAAAAAUAAAAGAUAUUUUUUCCGUUGGAAAAUAUUGUCGAACAGUAGGCGUGCGCCUGACAAGGAAAAAGAAAGAAAACUAAAAGCUAUCCUAAAAACUAUUGAUAAGAACCCUCCAUACGUUUGUUUCUUUUUAAAGCCAAAUGACUAAUGAUCAAUCUUCGUGGGUCCCUACCGAAUUGAGCAAGCACUACAAAAGCUUCCUGCACCAACCGAGCCUUCCCUUGUUUUUUGUUUCCUAUUACUUGUAGGAUUCCAAUCUCCUAAUCAGCAAAAGGAAUUGUAAUCCGAUUUUGGCACCCUGUGGGCCAGGGUUCGUGAAGUUCUUUGGAGUCUCGCACGUAUGGAGCAAUUUUCUUCAACAGGUCUCCAUUUUUAGCAUAUUUCAGUUCAACUUCCCUGUAGAUAGGUCCAAAUAUCAAAUACAAGUAUAUAUUAACAAUUUAAACAAUAUUUGGCAAGGACAAAGGGAAAAAUUAACAAUAAAAUUACUAACAAUUAACACCCUAUCAAUUCCCCCCACACCUGAAUCAUGCUUGUUCUCAAUUAUGAGAACAUCAAAACAAACACCAAAAUUUGACAAUGGCUAUUAUUCCAACUAUCGCAUUGCCAAGGUACCAAAAAAAAACAUAUAUCAAGCAUCACAGGUCAAGAUCCAGGAAAAAUCACCCCAGUUAGCUUCUAAACCACCAACUCCUCCAAAUUAAGGCAAACUAAUCUAAGAAAAGGGAAUGACGCUCAACAUUUAUCAGCAAAUGGUCCAACUAUUAACCAAAAUUUCAACAUUAAAUUCAUAAUUCGGCCAGCUAACUUAUAUCACACACUAACACAACCUUCGCUUUUUUAUCACGUUUUUCUAUUUUGCUCUUUUUUUUCUCUUUUCAAUAAUAACAAAAGACUUAGUCUCUAGCCAUUAGAGCCUUUUGACUCGAACUCCAACAUUUGUCAGAUGAAGGAGCCCGAUUACUCAACUCCGAUUGCUAUAAAACCACGUACUCAUAGUGAUUACUACCUUUUGACGCGAGAAUCGACACUUUUGGUGAAAAUCUCCGGUUACUCAGUAGUGACCUUGGCGGGGUACAGUCAAUUCUUAUUUACAGCCAUAUAGCACAAUAACUGAAAAUAACACAAACGCAACAGUAGCCAGCCGCAUAUUUUCAAACAUGGAGAACUAAAAUUAUUAACUGGACCAAUUCACAUGAAAAAUGUCAACAAUCAUUCCCUAUACCUAGAAAAGUUAACCAAAAAUUAGAAAAGUCAAGCAACUACUGAUUUUCACCGAAGAGAUGUUUCUGAAUUCAACCAUAUCAACUUGAUACCCUUUUAUUAAUAAAACUUGGCAACAGCAGAAUUAGAGACAACAAUCUAGCAUCAAAACUUGGUAUUCAUAUAAGAACUGAUCACUAGAAAAAAAAAAGAAAUGAAAUGAAAUGAAAGAUAGGCAAAAACUAACUAAAAAUAAAGGAAAAGUCUCUAGAACUCUAGAAACUAAAAACAAAAAUACUAGCACCACAACGAUCCCUCCCACACCUAAUUCACACAUUGCUCUCAAUGUGAUAAUGUAAAAGUAGAAGGAAUGAGAGGGGCAACGGUACUUCCAUGAAGUCAUCAAAACAGGGGCGGUUCAGGUGGAAAUUGUGGAUCAAGGCCUGCAUGGUGCAUAAAUGCCGCCAAAUUCUGCGUUAUGUUAUGCAGGUUGACGUCAAUGUGGGUCAUCCGAGUCUCUAGUCUCUCAACUCGUAUCUGGGGCUGGUGCCAUUCGUGGCUUCACCAUGGACUCUAGAAAUCACUCUAAGCAACAAGAGACUACAAUUGCCAACAAAUAAUGGAAGCCGGAAAUUCAAAGCAAUAACAAUUUUAAAGCCAAUCCAAUGAACAAAAUGCACAAUUUAAUCAUUCAGAGGACAUACAAAUACCCCAACACUUAUAGCAAAUGCAAUUGAUAAGCACUUAUGGUCCCAAUUCAGUCAGAUGUAGAAACAAAGCAGUCCGAAUGUGCAACAACUGCUCCAAAGACUUGAGUAAUUAAAAUUGAUGGGCAGAUUACCCAAAGCAAGUCAAUUAGAUGCAACAAAUGAGCAAUAGGCAAUGGAAGUGUCACAGUAGCUUCCCAAAUCAACAAACAACCGCAGAAAGUAGCUGCCCACACUAUCAGAACACGGCUCCCAACAAUGCAAUAAAACAAUCAAUAAUCACAGGAAGCCCCAUUAUUGUAAGAACCAGCAAAAGCAAUUCAAUAAGCAAUGAUGUUCGCAAAUGCAGACAAAUACCAAACCUUUCCACCCAAAUUCUCAGUAAAUGCCUCCAAAGGUGCAGUUGGCCGCAAAACACGCACCCUAAAUUGUGGCAAACGCCCCCAACAAGUCAAUUAAAAGCAACUAAGAGCAAUAACAGAAGUAACCCAACCAAAGGCACAACAAUGGUCUCAAGACAGAAAGCAAUAAAAUAGAGCUCAAGUGCUACCAUAGACGACCUCAACAAAGCAAUGGAUUCAAGCAAUUUGAAUGAGAAGAAUACGGUCAGAGGUCCCCUCAAAUACCAAUUUAAACGGGCUAACCCAACCUACUAAGAAAUCCAAACAACACUGAACAACACCCCAAUAUCAGUCAAACCUCAUCAAUAGCAAGUAAUCGAAAUAACGGGUUCCACCAAAUAAAUGAAAAACCUGUCACCAGGGUAGGCAAGUGCGAUGGGUGAAAGGGAGCUUGGAGUGGUGGCGCGAGCUGGCGGUGCUGGGGGAGUUGAAGCUGAAGUCGCACGUGAGGGAAAGGCCGCCGUGGCUGGUGGCGUGCGGUGGUGCGAGGUGAGCUAAGCAGCAGCGGUGGACAGCGGCUGAUAGCUCACGACGAAAGGGUCCAAGGCGGUAGCGUGCGAAGGAGAGCUGGUGGCGAGGAGAAAGAGAGAGAUGAGCGCGGGAGGGGCGGCAAUGAAGUGGGUGGGGGCGACGACGUUAUGGUGUCGCGAUGCACGAAGGAGGAGAUGGGCGGUGGAGCGGCGCGCGGCUUGGGGUCUCGGCCGAAGAAGAAAAGAAAAGAAGAAGAAGGAAGCGGGGAAGAACAGGAAAAAAAGGGAAAGAAGAAAAAAAGGAAAGAAAGAAAGAAAGAGAAGAAAAGAGAAAAGGAAAAAGAAAAACAGGAAAAGAAGAAAAAAAUACUUUUGGGGGUUUUUUUUUUGGGAAUUUUUUUUUUUUAGAAUUGAAUUGAAAUUGGAAAAUUCGAAUUUUGAACACCAAAACUGAAAAUGAAAACAGAAAUUACUUUUAUUUUAAAAUUUUUAUUUUUUAUUUUUUAAAAUGAAAAAUUAUUUCCUUUGUUUUUGGGUCGUCAAACACAGCGUGGGCACGCCAAAAUUAUAAAACAUCCACUGACCUCAGGAGUCACUAACAUGGCGUGGGCACACCAAGAUUGCAUUGCCUGCCAAUGUCGCGAGAUGUUGAGAUUUGACCAGCAUGGCGCGGACACGUCAAGAUUGGUAAACGUCUAUGACCUUUGGAGUCACUGACACCGCGUGGGCACGCCAAAAUUCCUGUCCUGACCACAGUGGAGGAAAAUAUUAAAACCGACUACCACCCAAAUGAGAAACGACAAAAUGAAAGAAUAGAACAACGAAAAAUGAUAAAACCAAUAUUUGGGUUGCCUCCCAAAAAGCGCAUUUUUUUAACGUCUUUGGCUAGACAUUGUCAUAUUUGUUCAGAGAGGAUAAAAUCUUGUGGCUCGUUUCAGUACUUCAUUCUCUAUAUAAUCCUGAUAGUUCUCGUAAAUAGAGUAAUUCUUGAGCACACGAGCUAUGAUCUUCCAUGAACUAGUAGAUGGCGCCAAACCGGUCAACAAUAAUCUGGAUUCUUCACUCACUCUCCAUCACGCGCAUUUAUUGGUUCAACAUAUUUUGCCAUUACCGCUUUUAACUUAUUCCUGUCAUGAAAUUCAAAAUUUUCUGGUAUAAUAAAUUCAAUCUCAUUAACAGGAAUUGAAGAAUAAGAGUCAGGAGAAUAUUGAUUAAGGAAUGGAGGAGAUGUCACCGCAUUUGGAGAUUGUUCACUGGAUUCAUUCACUUGAACGAGUUGAUGUUGGGGUCUCAUUUCUUGCACUUCAACUUCCUUUUCAAUUGCAUUUUUAGAUCCAUUUUUUUGAGACUCUUGUAGCUCCAUGUCACUUGUCAGGAUAAUUGCACUCUCAUCUUCUUCAAGGUCGAUAUUGGUCUGUGAGGGCAAUUUUUCACUCACGUAAGAAGCUAAUUGCGUUAUUCUGGAUGCCAAUAGAUGCACUUGAUCCUCCAUUCCGGAUGUCAAUAGUUGCACUUGAUCCGCCAUCGCUUGUGUCUCCUAUUGAAAUCGAUAUGUAUUAGCAACUAGUAAUUCAAUCAUUUAUUCAAGAGACAUACCUGACACGGAUGAUGGUUGUUGAGACUCUUGCUGUUGAAAAUCCAUUGGCCCGGUUACAUAAUUAAAAUUGAAACUAUCCCACCAUCCUUGAUCAUAACUGUUUGGGUAAGAGUCAUACCACGUUUGAAGUUGAGGUGAAAAAUCUCCAAAAGUAUCAAUUGGAGCACUUAGAUUAUCUUGAAAUGUAGAGCAUGUGUCGAUUGAAUAACUUGAGGCAAAAUAAGUUUCACAAUUUGCACCAACCCAUUGAUCAUUAGGAAAAACACGAAUCUCAUAACCCCAUUCAGGAAUAAAGUCCAGUCUAUCACCAAAAUACGGAAUGUUAACAGUCAUAAACUAUAUAAAAAAAUAAGAGAAAAAAAAAUCAAGAUGAACUAAAAAAGAAACAAAUUAAUCAGGCACCAGUUCUCGGCAGCGGCACUAAAAAUUGACAGGGUGUCGAGCUUGUAUAAUAAUAAUUACCUACUCAAGAAAAGUACAAAUUUUAUAUAUAGCGGUGAAUAGGGUCGAAUCCACAGGGACUGGAGAUAAUUCGUUUCCUCUAGAGUUCAGCGCAUGGGGGAUUUUUGGAAACUAUAAAGUAACUAAUUAACUAACUAAUGAAACAACUAAUAGAAAUAAAUAAGAAUUAAUCAAUAACCAAUACGACUCUAGCCAACAGUGCAACUUUUCAGACACGGUCCAUUCAACUGAUCAUCGAUACAAAGAUAAUUCAAUUACUCAUUACUAGAUUGGUUAUAGUUAUCAUACACGCGAUGAACAACCAGCCUUUUCUUAAUUUCUCAUAGUUAAGGUACGACCGUUAACUAUUUCUCAAACCAAGAAAUAACCCUAGGUACGACCGUAGGAUUUAAUUACUCGAUUGCAUUCAUAAUUAGAAAAAUCCAAUCCUAACCAACAAACACGCUACGAGGGUUUGUUUAAGUUAGAUCAUACGUUUCCCUAGUAUGAAACCAAUCACGCUAGUCGCCACUGGUAUUAAUCGAUUGAACAAUUACGGAUUCAAUAAAUUAAUUUGGCAUUAGAUCAUUAGGUUAAUUCGAAUAUCGGGCCCUUGACAUUCAAAUAACAUAACAAGUAUAAGCAAUUAAAUCAGGAAACGUACAAAUACCAAUGAAUAAAAGCAAUAAAUAAAAUUAAUUCGAUCUCACAGAUAUUUGGAACCGCGCCUUCAAGUUGGCCUUCGACUAGAUGAAAAGUUUAGCCACGCCGCAUAAUUAAAUCUCCACGCAAAUUAAUUGAUUGCAAAGGUAUCAAGUUUUUCACCAGGAAGCGAGAAAUAAAAGAUGUUUUUCCCGUUAAAAAAUAUUGUCGAACAGUAGGCGUGCGCCUAACAAGAAAAAAGAAAGAAAACUAAAAGCUAUCCUAAAAACUAUUGAUAAGAACCCUCUGUACGUUUGUUUCUUUUUAAAGCCAAAUGACUAAUGAUCAAUCUCCGUGGGUCCCUACCGAAUUGAGCAAGCACUACAAAAGCUUCCUGCACCAACCGAGCCUUCCCUUGUUUUUUGUUUCCUAUUACUAGUAGGAUUCCAAUCUCCUAAUCAGCAAAAGGAAUUGCAAUCUGAUUUUGGCACCCUGUGGGCUAGGGUUCGUGAAGCUCUUUGGAGUCUCCCACGUAUGGAACAAUAUUCUUCAACAGGUCCCCCUUUUUAGCAUAUUUCAGUUCAACUUCCCUGUAGAUAGGUCCAAAUACUAAAUAUAAGUAUAUAUUAACAAUUUAAACAAUAUUUGGCAAGGACAAAGGGGGAAAUUAACAAUAAAAUUACUAACAAUUAACACCCUAUCAUAUCACUUUCUCAUUUUGCACCCUAAACUUCAAUUCUGGACACUUUGCACCUUAAACUCUCAAUUUUGAACACUUUACACCCUAAACUCUUGAGUUUGUCCUAUUUAAAUCCAAUCAAUGACAACUUUUUCAUAAUUAACGGCAUAGAGGACUUAACAAAUCAAUGAUAAUGUGUCAAAAAGUAAUCAAAAGGUGCCAAGGUAUUAUAGCAAAAAUAAAACAAUACAUUAUCAUUAAUUUGCACUAUCUUUUCUCUUGCUAAUUUUGCUAAUAAUAUUAGUAAUUUAGACUGUUUAAAUAAAUGAUAAUAUGCUAAAAAUGAUUUUAAAAAAAAGCUAAAGAAUCAUAGUUGGAAUAAAAUGGUACAUUAUCAUUAAUUUUCACCAUUCUCUAUCUCAUUAAUCUUGCAAACAUAGUCAUUGAUUGGACUUAAAUGGGACAAAGCUAAGAGUUUAGGAUGAAAAGUGUCUAAAAUUAAGAGUUUAGGAUGCAAAGUGAGAAAGUGAUACAAGUUCAAGAAUGCAAAGUAGAGUUUGUAAAACAUUUAUGUUUGACAUAUUUGUCACGGCGCUAAAUAAGCAAUUUUAAUCUUUUUUUUUUUUCGACAGGAGCUAUUUUAAUUUUUUAUUUAAUUGUUUAAAGAUAAUGAAUGUCAGUAAAUAACUAAUUCAAUUAAUAUGAAUACACUACCUUACAAAAGCUAUCCUUCUUGCCUACCUUCCAUACAUUUAAUUAUUACCAAAAAAGUUAGGAACGACCACAUUGAAAUAGCUAUAAAUAAAUGUAUCCUUAGCACAAAAUUUCAUCUUCAGUUUCAAAAUAGUCAUGGCACAUCAAUCAAGAUGAAUAUAGGAAAUUUUCUUUAUUGCAACGAUGACAAGAGAAGAAGAAGAUGAAGAUGAUACCAAGCCCACAUGUACAGAUGAAUCCACUUUUCAAAUUCAUCUCCAUCGAAUUAAUGAUCUACCAGAAUGGUUCAUACAUCAAAUAUUAUAAUUCUUUGCAUAUUGAUAUCAUAAUCUCUCCUACAUAUUUACUUUAAUUCAUAUGAUAAAAGAAAGAAUUGUUUAAUGAAUCCUUCCUCCGUAUUUAUGCUUUACAGGCUUUCGAUAUCUGGAAAUCAGGUCGGCUCAUUUCUUAGGGUGAGCCUAAAAUUGCCCCAAGUAGCUACAAGUUGUCAAGUGCAAAGGUCAGUAAAAUUCAAAAAUCAAAUUGAUUCUAAAAGAUAAACUCUAACCUUGAAUGACCGAUUUAGUUUUCCUUUUCUCUUUAUAAUUUUCUUUACAUUUUGAUCACUGAUUCAUGCAUAAAGUUCUAUGGUUUUUGUUUUUUAUUUUUUUAAUGGAGUAAUAAUAUUUGCUUUUUUUGUUAUUAUAAUAGGAGGUGGAUAAGGGUGGAGUUGCAGAGGACCCAUUCUUGAAAUCCUAAGCACUGCUAUAAAGAGAGUACAUGUGGCAAAGAGUUUUUUUUUUUUUUAUCGACUUCUUUUUUUAUAUAAGUGGGAGGGCUUGAAUCCGAGCUUUGAUUCAUUUUGUCAUCAAAACAUGUAAAUUAAUUAUUAUUGUAUAGUUGAUUGCUAUAUUGAAGCAAUGGUAGGCUUGAUACUGUUCUUGUCAUCUAGUUUACCUGUUGUAAGAUCUGAUUUAAUCCAUAACUAAUUCUGAUACUGCUAUUUUUGGUGAAUGUUGAUUUCCAUCUAUUAAAAAGAAUAGAUUCAUUGUGUCUACCAAAUUUACAAGCACUUGGAUUUAACCUAAGAAAGAGAGAAAUGUAUAUUAGGAAAAACAUAUUAAGAUUAAAAGAAUAACAAUUUCAAGGACAUCUGAUGAAUCUUCGGCUUUUUGUACUGGACCAUAGUUUCUAAGCCAAAAAUAUUGAAUAGUUAGAGUUUAAAGUGAAGUUAUCUUUGAAGUAAACUAAAGUUUAAUACUAAUACUGAAAUUUCGUCAUAACAUGUCAAUGAAAUUUACGCCUUAUGGUGUCAAUUUCUAUUAAUACUUGUAUGUGAGUUCAAAAGAUAUUUAAUAUAACUUUCAAAAUUUUUAUUCUUUUUUCGGAAAUUAUAGUUUGAAAAAUAUUAAUAAACAUAAAGAAUUAACAAAUGGUUGAUUUCAAAUAUCAUUAUCCUAAGUUAGUGGAUAAAGAAACAAAAAUUUAUAUUUGGAUGGGUAUGAUAUAGAUGUUGGUACUUCUUCAAUUAUUUCUCAAACAAGGUCUUAUUUUGGUUCAUUUAGACUUAGAAUUUUUCCAACGGGUGCAAACUUGAAUUGCACCUUACUUACAAGUGAAUGUACACAAUUAUAUAAUUAUUGCAUUUCUUGUAUUUAGACACUUUCUCUAAAAAAGAGAAAACUAAUGCCUAAAACUCUUCUUAAUGAGUGCCCCCAUUAGCUAAACCAUAAGAUUUACUAUCCUUGACAAUCUAGAAUAAAACUAUCAAUAAUUAAUUGUAAUUAUUAGGAAAGUUGCUGCGUGAGGUAAAUGAUAAAAAAUGUACGUGCAUGUAGCCAUAGGGUCUAUUUGACGUUUUGAACCAUGGAAAACCCAAAGCAUAAGGAAAAAUAUAAGUAGACCCAAAGCAUAGGGUCUGUUUUGUACUCUAAGAAGAUGUAAGUUUUUGUAUCCCAUUUGGGAAGCGGUCAAGAAUAUUCUAAGAGGCUGUUUUGGUGCUGAAACCUCCUUUAUUUUUAUUUUUUGCAGUUUAAGAAAGACAUCAAGACUAGGGGUGCAUUAUCAAGACUUAUAAUAAAGGAAAAGAAAAAAUGAAAAGAUUUGAGAGAUUGUUGUUAAAAGUUAAAUAGACACAAUAAAUUUCGAAUAAUUUAGACAUGCACAUACACCCUAUAAUAAAUACAUAAAUCACUUGUGAAAAAAUUGGCAGAUUGCUACUUAUGCUCGAUGAUUAAUCUAGAUACUCUUUCUCAUCAUUUUGGAUCAAACUCGAAAGGGUGGAAAUGUAGGAUAUCCGGCCAAACCUUCAGUUGUAUGUAUAAUAUUUAAACAUAUAUAUUGCAUACCUGCCUGAGAUUCCAGACGACCUUCAAGCAAUUUUAAGGCGGAUAAUCAAACCAACGCAGUUUUCUAUUGUCAUGUGCAAAAGAAUGCUGCUGUCUUCUUCCCUCUGUAUCAAGGAAAAUCAAUGGAAACUUAUAUAGCUGGCCAACCUGAAUAAUGAACGUGCAAAUUGGAGAGACAUUUGCUGGUGAACCAAUCUAAUCUGACAAUGCAAGCAGAAGGCUGUGUAUUUUUGGUGUUCAAGAAUAUGUAAUUAUUUGCGAAACUCAUGUUGCUUGAUUGAGUUUGCAUGAUUAAUUUCACUCCAAACUUUCUAAUGUAAAUAUGUCAUUAGUUCUUUUAAAUACAACACGUAUAUAAUUCGUGGACCUAGAUGCCACAUAUUAUCUAAUUAUAUGUUGUAACAUAAAAUCUAACACCAAACUAUAACAGAGAAUCCAAAACAUCAAAGAAAUAAUGAGGUUUUUAACUAUGGACCGUUACUUUUUACAAAACUCAAGUCACAAAAUUAAAAACUCCAAUAUGAUUGAGUAAAUUUCAGGGAAUGAUAUUCAUGAUGAAGUUAAUCGAGAUGAUUUUGGUCUAGUGACUAAAGUUGAGAAAUCAGAAUUUAGAGAUUUUGGAUUUAAAUUUCAUUUCUUCCUCCCCACUUCUUAAAUUCUACCCACCCGAUGCUAUAAAAAAUAAACAAAAAAAAAGAUAUUCAUAACGAAACCUGCACUACCAAAGUUAGAUUUUAAGCAGAACUACAUCUUAUCUUUUUAGGGCGUGGACUCGUGCAAUUGAAGUGCGAAGUUUAUAUGAACUCUAAACUUUUUCCUAGAGUAUAAGCAACAUAAUUAAUAGAUUUUAUUAGACAGACACUUCAUUAAUUGAAAACCACCCUUUCAUAGGUGAGAAAUGAAAAACAUUUUAAGUUUUAGCCAAGAAAACACAACCCUAUAAUUUAGAUGGAAAACUAGUUUUACCAUGUUAUAAAUAUAUGUUCUGGUCAUAAAUAAAACAGUCCCAACUCCCCAUAGGCCAGUAGUAGAUAACACAAACAUGUACCCUGCAGCCAAAGAGCACGAUAACCAAACAACCAAAUUUGUCCCUCUAAUCAUUCUACCCACGACUAUUCCUUCAUUGCUUAGGUCCAUACAAAAUUCCAUACACGUCUUUAUCACGAUUGGGAUAUAUAGCAAUCCCGCUUCCCAUUCGACUCUAAAGAAGAAAACCCAACUUUAGAAAACAAAGUAUUAUUGUCCCUUUCUCUCUGGACACCAAUUCCAAGCCUCACAUUACAAGAAGUAUUUUAUCUUAGCCUCACAUUACAAUUCCAACCCUUUUGAUUGCUUUCAAUAUAUUUCGCCGUUUUAUCAAAAAAAAUUUUUUUGCUUAGCCCACUAGCAUGUACACUUUUUAACGUUUAUUCCAUAUGCUAUAUCAAUCAUAAUGUCCAUCUCUGAAAUCUCAUCACCUUCUUCUCCAGUAAAAGCUUGUUCAUUGCCUGAACCUGCAGGUGCUGCUUCUCCUCUGAGAAUUCAGUUAGUAUCUAAGUCAGUAUCAGAGAAAUUGCUGUACAAAUUCUCAGAUGUUUCAGAAUUUAACUUUGAUUAUACACAAAGUGGCUUGUGGUCUCCUCCUAUUCAGAUAAAUGCGUUCAUGAGCUCACCAGGAAGAAUUCUUACUCAACAAGAAAUGCUUGCAAAGCUAAGAAGUGCCUUGGCAGCUCAAGAACGUCGUAGGAGACGAUAUCGACUAUCUUUGAAUGUAAUGUUGUAUUAAUUCUGGCUACCCCUUUAAUUUUAACUAAAAGGGUUGUGAAUUUUUGUUUGAAAAUGAGAUUUUGUGGUAGAUAUGUUAAGUGAUCAGCAUUUUGUGCUCUUUUGCAGGCAUGUUUAUGUUCUCCGAAGAGAGAUUGAAGCUAAAGCUUGAGUUGAAUGGCAACCUUAGCCUUUUUGGAUUAACAUAACUUGAAUUGUUUCAUAGCUAGAUCCUAGAAACGCCUUCUUCUUUUCUUAUUCUCUUCUUCCUUCUCAACUUAGCAGGCAUUAAAUGUACAUGUAGAUUUUCAGGAAACAAAUACUGCUGUCUACAGCUUCUUUACUUCUAUAUUUAUUUAUUUAUUUUUGACUGCUAUUAUCUUUCUUUAUGUAAUUCUAUUCAAUUCUUUGCAACCAUAUAGUAUUUACAUCUUGUUUUGGUGAUAAAAUAAUUGGAUAGUAGAUUAUUUGAGAUUAUAUUUUGAAAAAAAUAUUGUAGCGCUAGCACUUUUUGGAUGUGAUAUAUGUAAGAUAAAAAAAUUGUUAGAAAAUAUGUUGAUGAUCAAAUUAUCCAAACAAAUAGUAUUGAAGGAGGAGAGGAUUAAAAUUUAGCAUUAGUGAUGUUGGCAUUACUACAAGCAUAUGCAGCUUUUGUAGGUUCCAUGGUGCAUGGACACAGACAGCUUUGUUUCGUGGUGUGUUUGGAUUCAUAAUAUCAGUAUCACACCGAUACUUUCACUGCUGCUGUUUGAGUUCACAUUUGAAGAUGCACAGUAUGAUUAAAAAAAAAUACUAGUAGUAGAUACUUUUUUUUUUUUUUUGGUGUAAGACAAGAAACUAGUAGUAAACAACUAUUCUUGUGCAUUUAAAAUUUUUUCCUAUUAAUUUGCUUACCAAUUGUCUGUAUAAAAAGUAGUAUGCAACUAAUUCACACAACUUUUCUAGCAAGAACUGACAUGGGAGAAAUAUUAUGGAACUAAUUCUUGUUUCUUUGUAGAUGUAUAGUUUCUUUAUUUUUGAACUUCACAGUUAAUCUACAACCAUUUAUAGAAACUUUACAUUGGAUUAACAUGAUUGCAACAAGUUGCUAAAAAUGGUUUUCAAACUUCUUCAACAUUUUGCUCAACAAAAUAGGCAACCUAUCUUAGGAUGCCUACGUCCCUUGUUUGCUCAAUUUAUUUUGGUCAACCAAUGUAAAUAGGGACAAAGGCAAACUAUCCCUCACGUGACUUGCUAUCAACUUGUUCAACCAAAUCCAAGAUAUACACACUCUGUUACCAGUCCACCUUCUGCCUCCAAAAUACCCCUUAUCUCUUGUAAUUAAUUUUUUUGUCUAAUAGUUACCAUAAUAUGCAAGAGGAAUCAGCUGAGCAUGACUCCACUUUCAAACUCUCUGGAGAUUUUAUCUCUUCUUUUUUUUCCUUCCCCAGUAGUUCAAUGCUAAUGUGUGAGGUCAUGUUCAGUCUGCCCAAUGGAAAUCCAAUAGUACUACUAGAAUCUACACAAAUUUCUAGGCAUCUAAUUGGAAUACAAUGCGUGUUCACAUGCAGAAGCAAGCAAGCAAGAGAAGAGAAUAACAGCCUAACUAGUAGUCUGCAAGGCAGUGAAUACUUUUUUGGCCUUGCCGGAGUACUCUCCUUGAUCCAGAAAAUUUCAACCAAGUUUGAAAAACAAGGUUAAAACCCUCAUCUGGUAUAAAUGCCAAAGAUGCUGAGUGCUCAAAAGUCCAAGUUUACCAGCACCUUUUCUGGCUCUUAAAUUUCAAGAUUGCAGCAGAAGGAGCAGAAGAAGACAUCACAGUUUUAUCGUGUCUCUCCCUAAUCCUUUGUAGCCUUAAUAACACUGAACAUAUCACCAUCAAUGUACUAUUAGCUUGUCCCCUUAUACCUGCAGUGAGACCACGGCUGAGUUUUCUUGCUGCAAUCCAGUCUGCAUCUCGUCAUUGUCAUUGCAGCAAUCGUUGAGGAUACAAUCAAUCAUUCAAUAUUAAUGUAGUCCCUAUUUUUAAAUUCCAAUAUUCAAGAACAUGGUUUACUUCUUUGUUGAUUUUUUUUCCCCUUUGUUUGCUGUCCAAUGGCAGCUGUAGAUCAUGCAGCUUUUGGGAUACAAGAUUCUUCCAUGGUUGCAAUAAACAGUCUUUAUAUGCGUUUGAAUUUAAGAAAGAAAUGUUGAUGACUGGGCAAUAAACAGAACAACUUGAUUUUUUUUUGUAUGGAUUUAGUGGCGAUAAACAGCCUCUGUUCUCAAUCAGAACAAGUUCCGAAAUUGUUUUGCUAGUUACAUGAUAUCAUUUAUUGAGGACCUACAGAAGUUAUUACUGAUGCAAUGGGAGGCUUAAAGUCGUACAGACAAUAAAGCACAGUGAAUUGCCUGCAUCUAUUAAUGCCAUCAGCUGAUACCAGUAAUUUACUGGCAUUCUUCUGUUCAUACACCAGCUGAUUGGGGCACCGGUCAGAAAUGCAUGCAGAGCAACAUACAGAAACUAACGGAGUCCAACACGAUCCAAACGCCCCGCGGGGGGGAACCCCAAACCCCCCAAAACACUCAAGACAGAGAUUGGGAGAGUUUCCUGCAGUUUUGCCUGAUUCCUACGAGUCAAUUACCAAGUUUGGAACCGUUCUGAUUCACGAUAAUGGUUUUUUAAAUCCUCCAGCAUGAUCACGUCUCAAGCCAAAAUAAAUAAAUAAAUGAACUUGAAUCAAGAAUGUGAAAAUGGGGUAAUUGGGAUUAGGAGAUAGGAUGGAAAGUGGGAAGGCUGAUGAAAGAGGCUAAGAUAAGAUGGGUAUGCUUUCACAAAUAAUUUAAUAUUAACCGCAAAUAUAGGUAUGUAUACAUACAAAGUUACACGAGGACAUACAUUAAGUUAAGACUCAUGAAAGCUACUGAGAAUACUUGUAUUUCGUAUAGGUUACCGUCCCUUUCUUAACAAACAAAAUUGUCCAUCUCGUUUUCUACAGAAAUAUACACGAGUACAUACAUUUCUUUGACUCCUAGAACCUACUGAGAAUACUUCUAUUUCGUACAUACAGCCCACUGACUUCCACUGAAUACACAACUAAAGGAACAUAUAGUAUCA